AUUGAACGCUGGCGGCAUGCUUUACACAUGCAAGUCGAACGGUAACGGGCCUUCGGGUGCUGACGAGUGGCGCACGGGUGAGUAAUGCAUCGGAACGUACCCAGAGGUGGGGGAUAACGCAGCGAAAGCUGUGCUAAUACCGCAUGUGAUCUGAGGAUGAAAGCGGGGGACCGAGCAGCAAUGUUUGGCCUCGCGCCUUUGGAGCGGCCGAUGUCGGAUUAGCUAGUUGGUGGGGUAAAGGCCUACCAAGGCGACGAUCCGUAGCUGGUCUGAGAGGACGACCAGCGACACUGAGACUGAGACACGGCCCAGACUCCUACGGGAGGCAGCAGUGGGGAAUUUUGGACAAUGGGCGCAAGCCUGAUCCAGCAAUGCCGCGUGCGGGAAGAAGGCCUUCGGGUUGUAAACCGCUUUUGGCAGGAACGAAACGGUGUCCGCUAAUACCGGGCGCUAAUGACGGUACCUGCAGAAUAAGCACCGGCUAACUACGUG
rnacentral:rRNA from 1 species